ACAAUGGAGAGUUUGAUCCUGGCUCAGGAUGAACGCUAGCGGGAGGCUUAACACAUGCAAGCCGAGGGGUAUUUGUAGCUUGCUACA
rnacentral:rRNA from 1 species